rnacentral:rRNA from 1 species
GACGAACGCUGGCGGCGCGCUUAACACAUGCAAGUCGAACGGAAAGGCCUGCUUUCCCUUGUGGAUUGCGGGUACUCGAGUGGCGAACGGGUGAGUAACACGUGAGUGAUCUGCCCCCAACUUGGGUAUAAGCCUGGGAAACUGGGUCUAAUUCCCGAUAGGACUGCAGGGUGGUGCCUGUGGUGGAAAACGAUUUUCUAGUGGUUGGGGAUGAGCUCGCGGCCUAUCAGCUUGUUGGUGGGGUAAUGGCCUACCAAGGCGGCGACGGGUAGCCGGCCUGAGAGGGUAGACGGCCACAUUGGGACUGAGAUACGGCCCAGACUCCUACGGGAGGCAGCAGUGGGGAAUAUUGCACAAUGGGCGGAAGCCUGAUGCAGCGACGCCGCGUGGGGGAUGACGGCCUUCGGGUUGUAAACUCCUUUCGACCGCGAGGAAGCCACCUGGUUGGAAGGGUGGUGACGGUAGUGGUAGAAGAAGCACCGGCUAACUACGUG